UUCGAUUUUCUAUCUAGGUAUAGUUCGAUCUGUCGGCCGUUUUUUAUCUUUUUUAUCUGUCUUCAGACUUGUGCUAAUCCUUUGUUGAAAUUGCAGGCAUGCCAUCGAGAGUGAGGCUGACAGAUACCGACAUUCAACAACAUGCAGUGAGGAAGAGACCGGUGCCUGGGUCGGACCUUCGCGGCCUCCCAAGAGGCCUCAAAUAUCAUCGCCGACCGAUAUUGCGACGGUGGCAGCGCAGCCCGACACCGAAUGUGCGUCG
rnacentral:lncRNA from 1 species